UGUUUAGUUGAUCUUAGAUAGGGCUGUUCCU
rnacentral:piRNA from 1 species